rnacentral:siRNA from 1 species
GUUGUUGGCACCUUAUGUUCAUGC